CCCUUAGAUGUUCUGGGCCGCACGCGCGCUACAAUGAUGCAGGCAACGAGUGCCGCUCCUUAGCCGAAAGGCUUGGGGAAUCUUGAAAACUGCAUCGUGCUAGGGAUAGAUGAUUGCAAUCGUGCAUCUUGAACGAGGAAUGCCUUGUAAGCGCGAGUCAUCAACUCGCGCUGAAUACGUCCCUGCCCUUUGUACACACCGCCCGUCGCUCCUACCGAUUGGAUGGUCCGGUGAACUGGUCGGACUGCUGUUUGAAAUUGCGGGUGCAGUUGAUUCACGGGAAGUCUAGUAAACCUUAUCAUCUAGAGGAAGGAGAAGUCGUAACA
rnacentral:rRNA from 1 species